CCGGAGUAGGGCGCGAAGUAGGGGCGCGGGGUGAGCGGGGGCGCGGGCCUGCGCGUGUCCACGUCGAGCAUGAUGAUGACGAUCAGGAUCCAGGGCAGGAGGAUGAAGAAGCGGCUGAACAGCACAGACUUCAUGUUCCUGACAGUCGGCUGCCACCGGAAUGAUUUCGUUUGACCCUCUCGGCGAUCCUUUCGAUGAGGCCUGGGAAGUAGAAUCACCUUCAUUUUCUGGAUGAGGAAGCUGGGACUCAGAGUUGGCAAUGAUCUCGCCGAGGUCAGUGGCGAUGGCCCAGCGGAAAGGAGACGUAGGUGCCCGGAGUCUAGCCGGUGGCUUCGGCCUGCAAAAGCCACUCUCAGCACAGCCCCCCGGCGGGCGGCCCUCCUGGCGGUAAACAAGGUGCAUUCAGAACCAAACGGAGUGCUCGGUGACAUGUGGAACCAUGACAGCGUCUGGAAGACGCGAGUAGACGCAGGCUCUUGGUUUGGGUGUUUGCUAUCUAGCGGACCCGCUGGCUGAGCCUCUGGCUGCCUGCGAUGGGGCAGAUGAAAGCGGGAUCGCGCUCCCUGGGCACGUGCAAGGGAGGUGCUCGCAGAGCGGCAGCAAAGACUUUCCCCAGCCUGUGAUAAAUAAUUUCUGAGCCCAUCUUCCCUCGCUGUCUGUCUUCCUCAGUCGUCUUCACAAAUAAACCCCGGCGAUCGCGCUCUGAGUGUCGGCACGGGGAAUGAAUGCUCUGGGACCGAUGCUCGCGUGUCCAGCGGCUCUGAGGCUCCUGGUUUCUCAGCUCUGUCCUGGCUGCUCCAGCCUGGCGUCCGGUCUUGGCGCGUCCUGAAUUUCCCUUAUUUACAGCCCAGAGUCUGAAGCCCGAGAGUGAAAUGUAUAAUAAUAACCCCACACGCCGCCCUCACUAGGGAUCACCUCUUCCACCUUCCAGUAUCAGCUACUAGCUCAUACUUUAAAUCACAAUUUAGAUCAGUGCCUCCAAACAUAGGAAACAAUGAAUCCAUCAGAAUCCUUCCUAUGGUCGCCGAUAGCUUAGCGGGCAAGUCAGGCCCCGGGGUGCGCCUGGGGAAGUCAGGGUCAGCAUUUUGGGGGAGGCAAGGGAGGACGGUUGGGGAGGGAAUUCGGUGGAGGCGUUUCUCGAAGCAGCACACACACCUGCCCACCCUGCAAAGAUGACUGAAGUCUCUUUCAUCCUGUUGGAAUUUUUACACGUAGUUGAAGAGAAAUGCCUCGUGUGUUAACUGAGUAAAACUGAAGUGGUCACAGAAUUGAACUUAAAAGCAUCACUAAACUUCAUGAGUAGGGACCUUGGUUAUUCCCUCUCAACCUUGAAACCUAUUUCCUGAUUGCUUCUUUUCCAGCAACCAGGACUGCUCAGAGAAGAAACACUUGCAAAAUCAUCACCUUUUGGAAUUUAUUUUGAGAUUUUGACUGGGGCCCAGGAUUCACAGAUGUCAUACAACACAACCCUUAACCAGCACACAGGAGGUCUGUGCAUCUUUUCUGUUAUCCUUAGUCAGCAUUUCCCCCAGGUGUACAUCACUCACUCAUCUGCUGGGAACAUGAUGGUUCUUGGAGUAGACCCGGGUUUUAUCCCCAGCUGGGUUGGUUGGGCAACUUUAGAAAGUCAAUGAGCUUUUCAGAGUCUGUGUCCUCAUCUGGAAAAAAAUGGACUUAAUAGAACACACUCCAUCAAAAUCUUGUAAGGAUUAAAUAGGAUAUGUUAGGUAAAAUAUUUUGCAGAGCAGCUGGCAACAUAUAAGUAGUCAGUAAAUGCUAUUUAAAUACAGGUUAACACUUUCUCAAAGGAAUAUCUUACACCAGGGGAUCUAGGUGAUCAUCAUAACAAUGCCUCAAAAUAGGGCCCCACCUGAGGAGAUAUUAAUGUGUGUGGUAGAGCCUUCUCCAGUUGGGGUAGAGAGGGGAAGAAAGAGGAAGUGAACUCCUAGUACACGAUGCCCCUAUCACACGGUAAGGAUGACAUGAUUCCAAGUGACAUUUAUCUCAAGUGGCUGAAAAUGCCAUUCAGUGACUCAAAAAAUGUGGACCUACAUCUUUCAUGAUCAAAUGUUGGCAAAGAUACAAAGAUAUAAAAAUGAAGAAUGUCCAUUUGAAGCCAAAAAUCAGGAUAGAAUACUACUAAGUGCAAAAAUAUAUUAUGCUUUAAAAAUAUUGAGAGAAUUUAUCAGGGCACCAGAAUGGAAACAGCUUCUUUAAAUGCAAGCAUGAACAAAAUAUUUUUCUGAAGCAUAAUCACUGAUAGCUAUGGUACGUUCCCAUAAUGUUUAUGAUACUCUUACAUAAAACAGUUUAAACGUGAUCUGUGGCUGCUAAUGAAGGUUGGUAAAGUCACUAGAGUAAUGAAAAUAAUUACCUAACUCAGAGCUUCUGUACAACCUCUUGGUGUUUAUUUUCAUCUAAUCUCUCUAAUUAUUUGUGUUACAAAGUGAGCAUUGCUUCAUCUGUACUAAUGAAGCCUUGGAUUGUUGGCAUCAGCUGCUGUGUUUCAGCAUUCAGCUGUUGUUCUCAAGUAAACAAACAAAGGUUAAAAAAACCUCAUCUGGGGAGUUAACAAAAAACAUAUUGCAGAAUCACUAAACGUUUACAUUUUGCUUUGAUGAGUAAUAUGCAACUGUUACUUUGGCACCAGAAAGACUGCAACCCGAUUAGAGCUCUGUAUGGAGCUGAUCCCAUUUGACUUUUGAGCCUGUGGUACUGCUACUGUGAAAAAUUAACCUUCACAAGAGCAUUUGGGUACAUCCUUGAUAUUCUUAAGUGGGAAGGCGAUCAAGAAAAAAAAAUCUAUAUGCAAUUAAAUACUUGUCAAUAUCUGUAUGAUAAUAUAGGUAUGCAAAGCAGAUUGUAAAAGGAAUCAACUAACUCAUGUGGGAGGAAUAAUGUAAUGGGAAUGUAUUGAUAAUCAAUACCCACCUCAUGUGAACAUAAAUAUUUUCUGUUAUGAUAUCAGAUACAAUUAUGUGGAAGAACAAUGUCAAAAUAAAUAAUUUAGAUAGCCCCAAAUUCCAGGGAUACAUGACAAUUUCAUUGAUAACUGUCAGAAAAAUGAUACCCAAACCACAAAUUAAAUGGCUCAUUUGUUUUAUUUUCAUGUAUCUGGAUCCUUUCCAACCAUCAGUUUUGUCCUAGAAUUGUUCUAAAUUUUAAUGCUUCUUUAAAAUUUUAGAUAUUUGGAGCUAUUAUAUACAAAAUGUGACAUUAGAGGAGUUUGACAGUAAAACUCUAUUUUUAUAGGUUGGUUUGGGAUCAAGUUUAUUCAGUAAAAGUUUUCUUGAAAAUUAGAAAUUGGCAAUUGAGCCUAACAAUUUUAUUGAAAAAAAUUUCAUUUAGUUUGAAUAAUAACUGAAGAUAAAACAUGCCAGUGUUCCUCCUUUUCUCUUUAUUAGUGAAUUAGGAUGCACACACACACACAAAUGCAUAAAGGCAUAUUAUCAUCUUUUAUAUCUCUUCCCCUCACUAUCUUAAAUAUUGGCAUUUACAUUAAAAUAUUAACUUGUUAGAAAAAGGAUUUUACUGUAAAACUACGUAGUCUACCUUUCAUAGUUUUCAUGAGAAUCAAAGGAAAUAAUGUUGAUGAAAGUAUUUUAAACACUGUAAAGUCGUUUAUACGUGUAAAAUGGAAGAGAGACGUGAAACAAGAUUGGCCAUGAGUUGAUGCUGAAACUGGGAUAUUACACAUGGGAGCUACUAAUAUUAUUGGACCUACUUAUGCAUGUUCCAAGUUUUUCAUAAUUAAAGGUUAAACUACAUUA